ACGAGGUGACUUCUGCCCAGUGCUCUGUAUGUCAAUGCCAAGAGAUUGAGCCAAGCGCGGGUAAACGGCGGGAGUAACUAUGACUCUCUUAAGGUAGCCAAAUGCCUCGUCAACCAAUUAUUGACGCGCAUGAAUGGAUCAACGAGAUUCCUGCUGUCCCCAGUUGCUAUCCGGUGAACCAACAGCCAAGGGAACGGGCUUGGAUGUGCCAGCGGGGAAAGAAGACCCUGUUGAGUUUGACUCUAGCUUGCUGCUGUGCAACGACAUGUUGGGUGUAGCACAGGUGGGAGGUGAGCACUCCACCGGAAGACCCCAGAAGAGAUGGCCACGGCUAUGACCACUCUCCAAUGAGGCUCUUUGUUGUUAUGGAUGAUGGUACCAACGAAGGAAGACCCAGAGUUGAGACAGUGCAAGCCUGCAGUGAAAUACCACUACCUUCACCGUCGUUUUGCUCAGUGAGUGGCUUGAGAAUGGUGGCCAAUUGGACAUCAGUUGUUGCAAUCUUACUGUAGCUGCUGUGGCCUUCAACCCAGUUUNGUGGGUCCAAGCAUGGUUCAACCAUCAACCAAGGUGGCGGCUGUGUGANUCUGUGAUGGCAUGCUUCAAACCANGUAUCGUCCAAUGAUCUGUUGGAGCCUUGGGACAUUGAGCAGCUGGGGAGUUUGGCUGGGGCGGCACGCCUGUUACACCACAACGCAGACGUCCUGAAGCAUUGCUCAGAUGGAACAGAAAUCUCCCACAGAGGAGAAGGCCAAAGGUACUGCUGAUGUGAUGACUUCCAGUGCAAGUCCUGAACAUGCAAAUGUGGCCUAUCGAUCCUUCGGCAAGUCUCACGGGUUUGUGACAUUGAAGCCAGAGGUGUCAGAAAAAUUACCACAGGGAUAACUGGCUUGUGGCAGCCAAGCGUUCAUAGCGACGUUGCUUUUUGAUCCUUCGAUGUCGGCUCUUCCUAGCCUUGCACCCGCAGCUGAGUCAAAGGGUUGGAU
rnacentral:rRNA from 1 species